UUACCAGCACGUUAUGGUGGGCACUCUAAGGAGACUGCCGGUGACAACCGGAGGAAGGUGGGGGAUGACGUCAAGUCAUCAUGGCCCUUACGGCCUGGGCUACACACGUGCUACAAUGGUCGGUACAAAGGGUUGCCAAGCCGCGAGGUGGAGCUAAUCCCAUAAAACCGAUACGUAGUCCGGAUCGCAGUCUGCAACUCGACUGCGUGAAGUCGGAAUCGCUAGUAAUCGUGAAUCAGAAUGUCACGGUGAAUACGUUCCCGGGCCUU
rnacentral:rRNA from 1 species